AACGAACGCUGGCGGCAGGCCUAACACAUGCAAGUCGAACGCUCCGCAAGGAGAGUGGCAGACGGGUGAGUAACACGUGGGAAUCUUCCUAUCGGUACGGAAUAGCUCAGGGAAACUUGAGGUAAUACCGCAUACGCCCUUCGGGGGAAAGAUUUAUCGCCGAUAGAUGAGCCCGCGUCUGAUUAGCUAGUUGGUGGGGUAAUGGCCUACCAAGGCGACGAUCUGUAGCUGGUCUGAGAGGAUGACCAGCCACACUGGGACUGAGACACGGCCAAGACUCCUACGGGAGGCAGCAGUGGGGAAUAUUGGACAAUGGGCGCAAGCUUGAUCCAGCCAUGCCGCGUGAGUGACGAAGGUCUUCGGAUUGUAAAGCUCUUUUGCCAGGGACGAUAAUGACGGUACCUGGAGAAUAAGCCCCGGCUAACUUCGUGCCAGCCGCCGCCGUAACAC
rnacentral:rRNA from 1 species